AGUGAACGCUGGCGGUAGGCCUAACACAUGCAAGUCGAACGGCAGCACAGUAAGAGCUUGCUCUUACGGGUGGCGAGUGGCGGACGGGUGAGGAAUACAUCGGAAUCUACUUUUUCGUGGGGGAUAACGUAGGGAAACUUACGCUAAUACCGCAUACGACCUACGGGUGAAAGCAGGGGAUCUUCGGACCUUGCGCGAUUGAAUGAGCCGAUGUCGGAUUAGCUAGUUGGCGGGGUAAAGGCCCACCAAGGCGACGAUCCGUAGCUGGUCUGAGAGGAUGAUCAGCCACACUGGAACUGAGACACGGUCCAGACUCCUACGGGAGGCAGCAGUGGGGAAUAUUGGACAAUGGGCGCAAGCCUGACCCAGCCAUACCGCGUGGGUGAAGAAGGCCUUCGGGUUGUAAAGCCCUUUUGUUGGGAAAGAAAAGCGGCAGGUUAAUACCCCGCUGUUCUGACGGUACCCAAAGAAUAAGCACCGGCUAACUUCGUG
rnacentral:rRNA from 1 species